rnacentral:rRNA from 1 species
AGUCGAACGGUCCUAUUCGGAAGGAACCUUCGGGUGAAUUCCGGAGACGGAAAGUGGCGGACGGGUGAGUAACGCGUGGGUAAUCUGCCCUCAAGGCGGGGAUAACUCCGGGAAACCGGUGCUAAUACCCGAUAAACUUUAACAGGCUCCGGCCGGUUAAAGCAAAGAUGGCCUCUGAUGCAAGCUGUCGUUUGAGGAUGAGCCCGCGUCCCAUUAGCUGGUUGGUGGGGUAAAAGCCUACCAAGGCAACGAUGGGUAGCCGGCCUGAGAGGGUGUACGGCCACACUGGGACUGAGACACGGCCCAGACUCCUACGGGAGGCAGCAGUGGGGAAUAUUGCCCAAUGGGGGAAACCCUGAGGCAGCAACGCCGCGUGAGCGAAGAAGGCCUUCGGGUCGUAAAGCUCUGUCCUGGGGGAAGAAAGUGCUGGGGGUAAAUAGCCCCCGGAGUUGACGGUACCCCAGGAGGAAGCCCUGGCUAACUACGUGCCAGCAGCCGCGGUAAUACGUAGAGGGCGAGCGUUGUCCGGAAUUAUUGGGCGUAAAGGGCGCGCAGGUGGUUAUGUAUGUCCAAUGUGAAAGGCGUCGGCUUAACCGGCGAAUUGCGUUGGAAACUGCAUAACUUGAGUGCAGGAGAGGAGAGUGGAAUCCCUAGUGUAGCGGUGAAAUGCGUAGAUAUUAGGGGGAACACCGGUGGCGAAGGCGACUCUCUGGCCUGC